UAGGUGACUUCCCUCUGAAGAUCUGUUAGACAUGCCCCAGUCAUCUUGGUUCCUUGGUGGCAGCUGUUCCACCUGGCUGUGUCCAGUCAGCCAUCUUGCCCUCCCUCCAGAAAUUCAAAAAAAAUUUCAGAUGAGAAAACUGAGGCACAGAGAGGUGAAAUAAGGCCCCCAGAAUGCUCUUCUCCAAGACUUAGAAAAAUCAAAUGCUAUCCAUCCCUCAAGAUACAUCCCUCCAGCCCCUCCUUGAAGUCUCCUGCAGCUAGAAGUAGAAGUAGCAUCUAUCCCCAUCUGGACUCCUUAGCACUUUGCUGUACCUGCCUUAGUCCCCAUCUCUUUACACACACACACACACACACACACACACACACAGAGUAUUAUAAUACUAUUACCUAUUAUAUUACAUUAUAUUAUUGUAGUUCUACAGGAACUACAAGGAAUUCUACUGUGAAUUCCUUAAGGGUGGGAUACAUUUUACAAUCAUCACUGUUUCUCUCAUUAGUUGUGGAAUCAAAAAAAUGAGUGCACGAUGAAAAAUUAUUCAAACACAUACAUGCUUUCAUUCCAAUUGAAAAUGUAAAAAUAUUACUGUUAAAACAAUAUUAAAGGACAUGUAAUACAAUUCAAAUAUUCCUACCAUGCACGAUUGUUUUCACUUCUUUGUGCCUCUUUCACCAUUUAUUUGUGUGCAUACUCAGCAUAUUUGUUUGUGUAACAGGAUGUUAAAAAUAGAAUUUGUUGCCUGUAGUUUUUGCUAAAGCUCUACUAGACUGGAACAGAACAAUAGGUGGUAAAUACUCCAUUCCUCAGUGAGAUGCUACCUACCUAUGCAGAGCUGGAAAAGAUUUUGCAACCUGAAAACCCAAUCCUUUCUGAGAUAUAAAAGAACAGAAGAGUCUGGAAGUGAUUUCUUCGGAGAAAUUCAUUUUCUUAUUCCAGAGAAGAAACUUCAAGCUCAGAAUAUUGGCUACUACCUGUGAUAAACAUUUAAAUUAUUGGAACGAGAGAGUUUUUAUAACUAAAUUUGAAAGAAGCAAUUUUUUUUAUCAAAGACCAACCCGAAGAUUCAUGACCACUACCUGUGAUUUCAUCCAUGUUGCAAGGAAAAUCCUGCCCCACUUCCCCAAUAGGAAGAGUGGUGGGGGAAUAAUAAAGUUGUUUUAUGAUGCAUCCUGUGGACUUCUACUCGACAGAAUGGUAACAUUCAACUGUAAUCAGGAUGAGCAAGCCACUUUAUUAAACUAAAAUUUUAAACUUUAAUAAAUAUAAUACAAACUGAAAAAUAAAAAUAAUUUUUCAACUCUACACAAGUAUGUUAACUGCAUAAACAGUGAGAUGUUACACAGGGCUGAGGCCUAUACUUCUUCAGUUUGUACAUUAAACGUCUCCAUGGAGGGUCAAUUGCAUCCUACCUAUUCUGACAGUUAUCAGGUAGCGAGAGAUUUGAGGAAGAGGCGCUUUUCUAAUCUGGGGUAGGAAAAGGAAUGAUACCAUGUAUCAUGAGAAGUAUUUGCACAUAGUGUGUCAAUUAAGCAAGUGCUCAGACUAUUAACAACAUUACUAUGUGAUGAAUGUUUAUACAGUGGAUUCAAAAAUAAGCUUCUUUCCAGAAAGCAGCUUAGUUUUCAUUAAUUAUUACCAGCAUCUUGGUAAUUAUUUAUUUAAUGGUUUAAAAGUUAAAGUUUCAAUCUAUAUUUGUUUUUUUAACAUCAGCCAAGGAAAUACAUGUCUGUUAUACUGCAUCUUUGGAAGUAUGCAAUAAGUGUAACUAUUGAAUCUAUAUUGAAGAGCCACAAGACACUGAAUUUAAUUGGACGAGACUAUUUUAUUUAGGAAGACAAUCAUCUCCUGUGAUCAGCUUAAGGUUUUUGUUUUGUUUUAUCUGGAACAAGCUAAGUUCAUAUUUAGAAAAUAAAGUUAGUUUUUUGGGUGCAUGAGUUUUAGAGUAAAUUAGUAAUUUAGUAAACUUUGACAUUUCCACUUUGUCUCCAAACACAUUUAAAUUCUAUCUGUCUGACUGAAGUUCUAAGGCAUUCUGUGGUUACUUAGAAAUGAUUCCUUAUAUUAAUGUUUACAAAUGCUAAAUUGUAUUUGUUAAAUACAUGUCUUAUUGCCUAAGAGUUUUCCUUUCUUAUAAGUUUAAUAUAAAUGUCUAGGAAAUAAGACUCCCAUUUAAUAGCUUAUAAAGAAUGCUGAUGUAUCAGCAGUGGCCUUGACAUUAUUGGAUACAAGUAAGAUCUACACUGAUGAUUAAAUCAAAUUGGCUAAGAUUAUUCGUUCUAAUAAAAGCACUGACUCCAUGAAGUUUUCUUGUGGCUGAAAUUAACAUUCGUGUUCCUACAAGCUCUUUAAAAUCUUAGUUACUGAAAAUUAUUCCUUUUGACCUAAUUUUUUCUUUACUUUGGAUGUAUUUGACAAGGUAGAGGUUAGGGAUUGGAGAGUAUGUAAAGAAUGAAAUAAAAUGUAGUCACUUUUAACUAUAUCCACAUA
rnacentral:lncRNA from 10 species